rnacentral:tRNA from 1 species
GCAAGUGUAGCAUAGUGGUAAGGAGCUGGGCUUGUAACCAAAAGGUUGCUGGUUCGAUUCCCUGCUGGGG